ACUGAGUUAUUAGGAGUGGGUAAGUUUUGACAGAGAUUUUUAAUUUAAUGUUAAGGGUAGGUUGAGGCACACACAAAGUAGAGGAAGAGAAUGAUGAGGCGACAGGGUGUGGGGAGUGAAGAGUUGGAUGGUGGUGUCGUCGGAGACAGGAGAGGCACGCCUAGAUGAUGUUGGGAAGCACUCCAUAACGCGGCGAACCGGGUUGCCGGCGCGUGACCGUAGAGUCCUCGAUCCCAUGCUGUCUCACCCUUCUUCCAUCCUAGGACGCCAAAGACCCAUUGUUGUCAACUUGGAACACGUCAAAGGAAUCAUCACUGCCACCGAGGUUCUCAUGAUCAACUCCUCCAACCCUUUCUUUCUUCGCUUCCUUCAAGACCUUCACACCCGUCUUAUUCAUCAAACUCCCUCCCCGGUACGUACUUCCAUUUUCCCUCACCUUAACACCACUCGUCAUCAUUGAAUAUGUACGUUCAUGUUAAUUAAUAACUUAUCGUAGCUGGAGUUCACAAAAAAAUAUAUUUAUUUGAGCUUCUUUAAUUAAGGAACAAAAGUACGUACAAAUUUCUUCAACCAUAUACCACGAGCGGGAUUAUUUUGGGAUUGUUCUCUGAUUUAGUGGGUUGGUGAGCACCUAUAAUCUCUAAAGCACCCAGAAAAAAUUAACAAACAAAUCUAAAUUAAAGUUUCAUUUGGGCAUGAAAAAAGUAUAAAUAGGCAUGCAUGCUUGAUAGUGUAAAGAGAUUUUGAAGUUUAAACUUAUGAUUCAUGAUAAAUUAUCAGUUUUUAGCAUGUUAAUAAUGUUAAUUUAGAUUUGAAGAUGAUAUAAUUUCCUCCUAAGAAUAUAUGUAAUGUAGUCUUAGAUAUUAUUAAAAAAUAUCAUAUGCGCAUGCAUGGUCAUGAUAUUAAACUUGACUACACAUGAGCAAUGGGAUGGGUGGUGGUAACGAAGCAAAGACCUCUAGCGAUGGUGGUGAAGAUUCCCAAAAUGAUUCGCCUGUGAAAACAUCUGAGGAGGACUCUGAUGCGUUUCAAGUAAAUUCAGAGAUGGCACCAGCAGGUCCUUAGCAGUUACCUUUUGAGUUCCGAGCACUCGAGACAUGUAUUGAAUCUGCUUGCAGACUUCAACAUUGGAGGAAGAGGCUUACCCAGCUUUAGAUGCAUUGGCCUCUCAACUUAGCACACUCAAUCUUGAACGUGUAAUACACAUCAAGAGUCGUUUGGUUGCAUUUUCCGGUCGUGUGCAAAAGGGUGGCUUACUGUGCGACUUUAUGCAAACACUUGUUUUGGAUUGCAUUUUGCAAACUUGCAAACUCUCUUCUGAGCAAGUGUUCUCCGGUUUCAUUGUCCUGUUUAAAUUGUUCUUAAUUCAUUUUAGUCGCAUAAAUUCUCCACUGUGCAAAUGGAGAGUAGGCUGGUCUGUACAAAUUUAAUAUACAAGAAAUGCUAGGAAGACAUUUUUUUUUAUGGUUGCUUCUGAUUUUUUUGUCAAGGAUAUUAAUUUCGGGUAGGAACAUAAAGUCUAUAUUGUGAACCUGGAAGUGUGAAUCCAAAAAGAAAGCAAGAUGAUUAAUUA